GGGCCCGUGGUCUAGGGGUUAUGACGUCACAUUGACAUUGUGAAGGUCGCCAGUUCAAAUCUGGCCGGGCCCACCA
rnacentral:tRNA from 1 species